ACACCUUUUGCGCAUCCGGAACAAACCUACCCUGAUCGGGCUUCAAAUACCAGACCCAGCCAGGCUUCCAACAAUCUUGCAUUGGACUCCAAGCAGAACGGACACAUCAUCACGAAUCUUCCCUGCAAAGGCUGUCGAUUUCUAAGGCGCAAUGAAGUACAUGUUGUUUACCGUUUGCAUCCUCCUGGUGUUUGUUAUGGCCAAGGAAGCAGAUGCUUGCGGGAACUCCGGUGAUCAUUGUAACAACGACUGCUGUGGUGGUUUUACGUGUGACUGGGAUCAAGGGCUCCCUACGGUCUAUGGCAUAUGUGUCGCGGAGGCACCGAGGCCCUGUGAAUCCUUUCCCGGCUGCCAAUCGUAAUGUUAUUAUCUCAUCUUCGCCGCAGGAUGUUACAAGGAUCUUGAUUGAAUAAUUAAGAUGUAAAGUGUUCAAAAUAAAAAUUGCGAUAUCAACUUAUAA